UCUAUACAUGCAGUCGAACGCGUUGGCCCAAUUGAUUGAUGGUGCUUGCACCUGAUUGAUUUUGGUCGCCAACGAGUGGCGGACGGGUGAGUAACACGUAGGUAACCUGCCCAGAAUCGGGGGACAACAUUUGGAAACAGAUGCUAAUACCGCAUAACAACGUUGUUCGCAUGAACAACGCUUAAAAGAUGGCUUCUCGCUAUCACUUCUGGAUGGACCUGCGGUGCAUUAGCUUGUUGGUGGGGUAAUGGCCUACCAAGGCGAUGAUGCAUAGCCGAGUUGACAGACUGAUCGGCCACAAUGGGACUGACACACGGCCCAUACUCCUACGGGAGGCAACACUACGGAAUCUUCCACAAUGGGCACAAGCCUGAUGGACCAACACCGCGUGAGUGAACAACGGUUUCGGCUCGUAAAGCUCUGUUGAUAAAGAAUAACACGUAUGAUAGUAACUGUUCAUACAUUGACGGUAUUUAACCAGAAAGUCACGGCUAACUACGUGCCAGCAACCGCGGUAAUACGUACGUGGCAAGCGUUAUCCGGAUUUAUUGGGCGUAAAGAGAGUGCAGGCGGUUUUCUAAGUCUGAUGUGAAAGCCUUCGGCUUAACCGAACAAAUGCAUCGGAAACUGGAUAACUUGAAUGCAGAAGAGGGUACUGGAGCUCCAUGUGUAUCGGUGGAAUGCGUAGAUAUAUGGAAUAGCACCAGUGGCUAACGCGGCUACCUGGUCUGCAACUGACGCUGAGACUCGAAAGCAUGGGUAACGAAAAGCAUUAGAUACCCUGAUAGUCCAUGACGUAAGCGAUGAGUGCUAGGUGUUGGAGGGUUUCCCUGCCCUGUCAGUGACCGCAGCUAACGCAUCUACCGCUCCAGCCUGGGGGAGUACGAUCGACAAUGCUUGAGAACUCAACGGAGUUGACCGGGCGGCCCGCACAAGCUGUGGAUCAAUGUCGAUUUAAUUCCGAAGCUACCUGACAGAACCUUAGCAAGUCUUGACAUACUUGCGCAA
rnacentral:rRNA from 2 species